GGAAAGAUAGUGAUUGAGGAGUAGUAAUGGUGUUCUUUCGGUAAACAGAGAGCUGGCGGCCGGUGCAAGCCAGUCCGGAAAAUCUAUGAACUCGCCUCUUGAAUCGCAGGUGUGAAACAAAAAGUAAUGCCUGCCGCUGUAAUCGGCGUUACAGAUACGAAGCAGAGCGCGAUCGUUUGCGCUAAUGUGGGUGGUACCGCGGGAAUCUCUCUCUCGUCCCAACU
rnacentral:ncRNA from 1 species